UGCCACAGGGCUACCAAGGGAUUGUUCUGAAAAGGAAAUCCAUGUGUGGUAGCCCCUCAGCUUCACAUCCUUUGGAGCGUGCUGUUGUUCUCAGGGUACAGUCUAACUUUAGAAAGCCUCGUAAGCUGUGCAUCACAUCUUGUAAGGAGUUGUGAGGCAUGAAUGACAGAAAGGAAUGACAGUAACAAUAGCAAUUGCUCUCAAUUGAGCUUGCUGGAUGAUGACAGCUGUGCCAGGCCCUUCCCACGCAGCCUCUCUGAUCCUACAAGGCGGACGUCAUACAUCCCCUUUUUGCAGAACAGGAAACGGACUCAGGGAAGGAAGGACCCAGACGGGAACCCAGGAGAUCACUCAGAUGAUUUCUGCUGAAGGCGAUCAAUGUCAUGACUUCUGUUAUGGGCAAUGGCAGUGCAAGUGUUUCUGCCUUUCUGACAAACUCUGACGGAUGCAGUACCCCAGAAUGUUCAGAGACAUGUCUUAGUGUCGCCGUUGCCAACAGCACAGCAAACCUAGGCAUCAGUAUCUCCAUUUUGCAAGAAAGCUGACCCUAGAAAGAC